rnacentral:lncRNA from 1 species
AGGUACUAUCGUUAUUUCCACUUUACGAAGGAGGAAGUGAAAUUGAGCAAGACCUCACACAGCUGGGAAGCGGAAAGUCAGUGCCUUGAUGAUCAUGAUGAUGAUGAUGAUAACAACAGCUAAGAUAUAUUAAGCACCUACUGUGUGCCAGGCACCGUUCUGGGUGCUGGAACAAUAGCAAAAGAAAAACACCAGGUGCGGCCGGCAAGGUGGUGUGUGCUUAUAAUUCCAGCAUUUUGAAAAGCCGAGGCAGGCAGAUCACUUGAGCCCAGGAGUUUAAGACCAGCCUGGCCAACAUGGUGAAACCCCGUCUCUACUAAAAAUACAAAAAUUAGGCUGGGCGCAAUGGCUCACACCUGUAAUCCCAGCACUUUGGGAGGCCGAGGAGGGAGGAUUACCUAAGGUCGGGAGUUCGAGACCAGCCUGGCCAACAUGGAGAAACCCCCAUCUCUACUAAAAAUACAAAAUUAGCUGGGUGUGGUGGCGCAUGCCUGUAAUCCCAGCUACGAGGGAGGCUGAGGCCGGAGAAUCGCUUGAACCUAGGAGGCGGAGGCUGCAGUGAGCUGAGAUCGUGCCAUCGCUCUGAGCGACAAGAGCAAAACUCCGUCUGAAAACAAAACAAAAUAAAACAAAAAACAGCACGAAAAUUAACCUGGUGUGGUGGCACAUGCCUGUAAUCCUAGCUGCUCAGGAGGCUGAGGCAGGAGAAUUGCUUGAACCUGGGAGGCAGAGGCUGCAGUGAGCCAAGAUUGUGCCAAGGAAGAAAAGGAAAAGAAGAAAAAUACCAGGUGCAUUCAAAGAACCCAGCCUCUGGAGAAGCAGUAAGUCCCAGCCCAUUUCCCAGGCUCUUCUGCCCCCUGGGCACACCUGGUACCAGGCAUGGACAGGCCCAAACACCGAGGCCAUUGCACAUUUGCUGCCUCAGAGGGACUCACCUUGGUGUCUCAGUUUCCCAAGACUCUUCGGGGUCUGGGGCCCAUGGAACGGGCUCAACCAACUCCAUGGGGUGGUGGCUUGCUGAGAAAACUGUGGGCUAGGAUCUGUGAGCCAGGGUCUGGGAGGAGUGAGGACCAUUCAUAGAAAGCCUGGCAACUGGGAGCACCUGCAUCCUGCCUGGGAGGACCACGUGGAGGGAGCAGAGCCACCUUCACCCCUGUCUCGGGCCUGUUUUCCCUUCCCGCUCUGCCCUGUACUUUGCAAGCCCCCAAGAGAUGGGGUUGGGUCCUGUCCACUGCUCCCCCUCCCUGUUUUGGCCACACUUUCUCACUAGGAAAGAAAAUGACCAGGAGGCCACAUUCUCCAGGCCCCCAAAGCCUGCACCAGGGUCUCUCCCAAUCCACAUCAUUCCACCUUUUCCCGCUGCCACUCCACCUCUGUGACCCCUUCUCCUGUCACUCAGUCCUUGCAAUAACUAAGGAUUCA